GAUGUCUGUGUUACUCACUUCUGUGACAUUUCACCAGCUCUGAACAUUACAGGUCCAGGGCCCAAAGGACUGCAUACUGAAAAGGAGAGGAAAGUUCAGAGCUAAAGUUUCUCCUCAAAACUCAAACCAACCUAUGGAAGCUAAAUGAGUGAGGUUACUAGAACUCACUGGUCAUCUGAAAGAAGCUCCAACUGUGGCCAACAGAUGGGUCCUGUUGGCAACCGGUAUGCUGAGCACUGGGGAAGGGCAACUCUGGGAUCACAAAGGCAUCUGGCCCUGUCUCUACAACAGAAAAUUGAAUUCUCUUCAAAGCAUAUUCACACAGCAAUGUACGUGCGUCAGUGCUUGGAAUUUUAACUCAAUGAUCCUUGAGAGACUGCUAUGAGCUGCAGUGCUCAGCCCAUGAAACACAAGAUGAAAAGACACAGUUGUCAUUCUGUAAGGACCUCUGGCUGAAAUGAGGAUGAAAGUGCUUUCUUGGAUGGUCUUGUUAAAUAUAACUCAUUUUACUUAUUUUACUAAGCCUGAUAAAAAGGACAUCUCAUUGAACUAGCUAUGUGUCAAAUCACUUAGCAUUUCUGAAAUUUUCCUUCUUCAUCUAGGACAUGAGAGGAUUUGACCAGAUCUGGAAGAUCCACAUAGAUUCCCACUAUGCUAAUGAUAUAGCAGGAAAUGAGAAUAUAGUGAAUGAUUCUUCUGAUGGUUUAUUUGGCUCACAGUUUCACAGAACUCAAUCCAUAGAUGGCUGACUCCAUAGCUCUGGGCCCGAGAUGAGGCAGAACAUCAUGACAGAAGGUCCCAGCAGAGGAAUGCAACACAGACCAUGACAGAUAGGAAGCAGAGAGAGACUUCUCAUCAGGAACAAAAUAUAAACCCCCAAGCCACAACCCAGGGACCUACUUCCUCCAGCCAUACCACCUGCCUAAAGUUACCAUCCAGUGAAUCCAUAUCAGUGGAUUAAUCCACUGAUUAGGGGACAAAUCUCAUAAUCUAAUCAUUUCCAUUCUGGGUGUUCUUGCAUUGUCUUACACAUGAGCUUUGGGGAUCAACUCAUAUCUAAAAUGAUAUUAUUCAGUUUUAAAAAGGACAGUCUCUGAUAUACUUACAACAUGCAUGAAGCUAGAAAAAAAUCAUGUUAAAUGGAUUAAGUUAGAUACAAAAGAACACAUGUAUGAUUUUACUUGCAUGCAGUACCUAGAAAAGUCAAGUCCAUAGGAACAGAAUGUCUAAUUAUGGUUACCAGAGGCUGGGGAUCAAAGGUGGAGAUGAAAGUUAUUGUUUAAUGAAUACAGAGUUUCAGUUUAGAAUGAUGAAAAAGUCCUAAAACUGGAUAAUAGUUAUUUUGGAAUUAGUAAUGUGAAUUUACUUGAUGCCACUGAAUUGUACACUCAAAAACGGUUAAAAAGGUUAAUUUUAUACUAUAUAUAUUUUAUCAAAAAUGAUUUGAGAUGAAUCAAGUUGCUACAUUUUACAUUCUAGACUUUAUAAAAAAAGUAUUUGUAAAUAUAAAAUUACUGCCUUAAGUUCAGUGGUAUGCACAUGAUUAGUUUUACAAAGUGCUAUAAAAUUUUUCUCAAUAGUAUAAUUUGUGCAUAAUGAUAUUUUGGGAUGGUUUGGAAACUGUCCUGCUGGGCCCUAUAACUAAAAAUAAAUCAUAAUGAAUCUUUCAAUUGCUUCACAAAUUUGCUCGAAUGUAAGAAUCUCUGAAAGUGAUUAGAAAUUCUUAUGGGGCUCACCCCAAUCCAAUUGAAUCAGAAAGGAAUCUUGGAAAGGGAUUGGGAAUCAAUAUUUUUAUGAAGUACUCUAGGGGGACUCAUAUUAGGUAAACUGGAAAAUACAUUUUUAAAAUAAAAUUCUGGAUUAAACAGAGAGAAGCAGGAAUCUGCAUCAAUCCUACAUCCUUCAAUAACACCUCUCUCCUUUCAAGCCUGAGUCUGCCCACCAGAAACAAUGAAGGACAAUAUCCCUAAUACCCUUCCCUAAAACUGGCACUGCCCUAAAUUGCAAGUACUACAGCAGUGGCUAGAAACCUGCACCAAAAAUAAAGCAAUCAGAUGGAAAUAACCAAAUAUGAGAUAGGGACAACUGGAGAGAAAGGAUGAUUUGAUCAGUAGAUGAUGAAAGUAGGAGUAAGCCCAUAGCUGGCUGACCUUCAAUGCCCUUGGGCAUCAAUCCUACGUAUUUGCCAGGAACAAGUUCCAGAUGCCCAUGUUUCAAGGUGGGUUCUAUGUGCCAAGAAAUUUGAAUUGAAAAGUUCACUUUCUGCCUGAGAUUAUGGUGUUUGGGUUUUUUUUUAUUUUAAGCUUUUCAAAGAUUGCCUAAUUUAUGAAAAAUUUCUUUUUCUUCCUUUCUUCCAAACUUCUCUCUCUUUAUCCUGGGGUUUCAUUUUUGUUCCCAAAUGCAAUCAAAGAAUGGCAGAAGUGAGUAGGAUUAGAAUUAAGACUGAAAUGUAGUUUUUUUUUUGAAAAAAUGUUGAUCAUAAAAUCAUCUAAAAAGGAAAGGUAUAUCUUAUUAUAAGUAUUAUGGU